rnacentral:tRNA from 1 species
GUGAUUGUAGUUCAGCUGGUUAGAAUGUCGGUUUGUGGUACCGAAGGUCGCCGGUUCGAACCCGGUCAGUCACC